rnacentral:tRNA from 1 species
CCGACCUUAGCUCAGUUGGUAGAGCGGAGGACUGUAGUAGGCUUAUAGCAAUCCUUAGGUCGCUGGUUCGAAUCCGGCAGGUCGGA